UGGAAAUUAUAUACUCUUUUUCUAUUCUUUUGACCCUAAAACUUAUAAUAUGUUUUCUUUACUUUUUUUAGCCCAGUAUUAAUCUUUACUUUGCCCUCUUUCUAGAAAAUGCAAAGUUCUUUUGAAAAUCACCUUUUUUUGUUUUUCUGGCUUCUUUUACAAUUUAUUUUCUGUCUUUGAUUUUCUAUGGUUUCACAUAAAGUAAAAUGCCUUUUAUUUUUUAAAAUCCUGCUUGUACUUCAUUGGGCUUCUUAUAGAUUAAUAUCUUUAAUCAAUUCUCAGAAAUUUUCAGCCAUUAUCUCUUCACAUAUUGUCUGGGUCCUUAUUCUCUCAUUCAUUUCUGGGACUCCAGUUUGAUAUAUAUAUAUUAGGCCAUCCCAGUGUAUCCUCCCUGUCUCUUGCUCUAUCUUCAAUAUUUUUUAUUUUUUAUUUUGUCUCUCCUUCCCUCAUUUGGGAUGUUUCUUUUAACCUAUCUUCCAGUCAGUCAUUCUCUCUUUAGGUGUGCCUAAUCUGCUCUAAAAUUUACCCAUAGUUUUUAUACCUUUAACUAUUCUAUUUUCUAGUUUUAUAAUUCCCAUUUGGUUAUUUUUCAAAUCUUAAAUGUCAUUUUAUGGUUUCCAGUUACUUGACAAAAUUUAUAAGCUUGACUUAUUUCCAUGAACAUAACAAGCAUAGUGGUAUAAAGACUACGUUUGUUAUCAAGUCUUUUUGUCUGUUGUUUCUGUUGGUGCUGGCUAAUUCUUGACUCUUCUUUCAUCCCAUUAUCUUUGAUUGUUUGCUAUUCAUUUUAUUUGAAAACUUAAUUAUGGAAAUAAUUUGAGGCAUUGGAUCAUGUUCUGUUCUUCCAAAGAGGAGUUUCAUUGCCUUCUUCAGGUCAUUAAGGGUUCCAAUAGUCCUGAACCCAUGCUUGAGGAUUUCUGAGUCAAACAAAUGAUUAUAGUCCAUAUCCCUACUUUUGGCCUAUGCUUCUUGGGGGUCCUGUCACAGAGUGGGGGAUGUUUCACUAGGGUUACCCUCCUUAAUGUGUAUUGGACUCAUGCCUAGAUCCAAGUGACUGCCAAAUGCUCAGUUUUUUUCUCACCUUUCUUAAGUUGCUUGUUUAUGAUUAGUACUGUUUAUGUUAAAACAACAUCUGCAACCUAAUAGUGUUCGGAGUCUAACAUCUUGGUCAGCCCAUCUCUGCUGCUUCCACCAUGAUUUUCUUCUCACCAGAAUGUGAGGCAUACAAAAUGCAGAGGUAGUUCCCAGGUAAUGCUGGAGCUUGCUCUACAAACACGAAACUAUCUGUGGCUGACGACCAAUUUGGAAUGGUAUUAAUCUUCAAAAAUAAGUUGAACAUAGCUUUAAAUCCCCAGGAUCAAAACAAGAAUUCUUGGGACAUCUCAUCCAUAAUCCAACUGGAUUAUUAUAAGAUCCAAUAAGACCUUCUUAAACAUUCCCGUAAAUGCUCUAGUUUCCUGGGUUCAGGAGAAACAUUUUACUAACAGUUUUCUUUUUAGCAUAUCAAAAUAAAAUGCUGCUUCUCUCUGAGUCUCUUGCAUUAAAUUUUUUUUAAUCUACACUGUAGGCCUUAUAUGAUUUUCCAUUAAACUACUUUGUCACAUUAUCUUCUAGACAUAGCCUUAAUGUCAUAGUAGGUGUGAACAUCUAUAUAAUUGGCUCUAAUUAGGCUGGUGAUAACCAGAACAUUCUUGUUCAUUAUCUAAAGCCAAUAAUCUUAGUACUUUCAGAGAAUCUCUUCAUUUCUUUUGAGAACAUGGGAGAAAAAUUAAUUAUAUCAUCAUUCUGUAAGAACAUGGGGGUCUGCUUAGUUCUUAAACUUCUUAUUCCUUUUCUUGAAAUCUAUCCACAGCAACAAGGAGAAUGAACAUAAGUUCAUGGAAACUGAAUUUUCAGCAAACAGCUGACUAACAAAACCCCAAGGCUCCAAAAUUACAUGUGAACACUGUAGUAGGCAACUGAGACCAGAAGCACAGUGCAGCAAGUGUACGUAGGAAUUCAAGAAAACAUUUUGGGAAAGGUAUGAGAUUGAAUAGGGUCCAAAUACCCAAGAGGGAAAGAGAGAGAAGGAUAGAAAGUGCCUAAUCAGAGAUAGCAGAUCUUAGAAAUCACCAGUAAAAUAACUUUCUAAAAGUGAUAAUAUUAUUUUGGAAGGCAAAGCCUCGAUCCCUGCAGCCUGUGAAUGAAUCAGGAAAUUGAGAACUGUGUGCAGAAGCUUUUCAGAGCCAGGUUAGGUACUGAGAGGCAGAGGAAAUGUGAUUUCACAGAGUGGCCAUAUUUUAAGGAAGUAAGUCUUUUGCUAUAGCAAUGGAGGAGAGAGCCCAGGAGAGAUUAGUUCUGUAAAGCUAUCCUAGCCCUUCUUUCCAACUCCUGAUAAUAGUCGGAAAUUCAACUCAUCCAAAUAUGAGGAUUAUGAAAAUCAUAUGCACAAUAGCUACUCAAAAAUAUGGUAAGAAAACUGUGAAACAGAAUAAAACAAUUUUCUUACAGAAGAUGAAAAUUUACUGGGAAAUUGUUACCAUAAAACAAAUGAAAUUUAUAACUCAACAUUUCAACAUGAAUUUGAAAAACUUAAUGAAAUAAUCCUAGCUAUGAAGUAAAAUCACAAAGAAGUAAUAAACAUAAGACUCAGGUAGCUGGGAGCCAGACAAUAGGUUAUUAAUGCCUACUUUUUAUAAGAAUAUAAUCAGAGAAUUGAGUAUUUUGACCUUUUGGGGAUGCGUAGUAAAGAAUUAACCUGGACUUCCCUGGUAGUGCAGUGGUUAAGAAUCUGCCUGCCAAUGCAGGGGACACGGGUUCGAUCCCUGGUCCGGGAAGAUCCCACAUUUCGCAGAGCAACUACUGAGCCAGCGCUCUAGAGCCUGUGAGCCACAACUACUGAGCCCACGUGCUGCAACUACUGAAGCCUGCGUGCCUAGAGCCCACGCUCUGCAACAAGAGAAGCCACUGCAAUGAGAAGCCCGCACACCGCAACAAAGAGUAGCCCCUGCUCACUGCAACUAGAGAAGGCCUGCGCGCAGCAACGAAGACCCAAUGCCGCCAAAAAGAAAUAAGUGAGCUGGAAAACCAGACUGCCUUUCCUUUGCCACGUGGCAGAGAACAGAGCAGAAUGUGUGCAGUCUGAGGCAGGCUGACUCCCAAGACGGACGGAGGAGGGGCUGGAAGAGGAAUACCCAGUUUCUUUCCGACUCACCAGAUAAGUCACCCCACCUCCUCAGGGCAGGAGUGAGUGAGGGAACUGAGUGAGAUAUGGAGCAUAUUUUCAGAGCUUUAUUGGCCGUUUGGAAAAACUUUUUGUGAAAUGUCUGUGCAAGUCUUUUUGAACAUUAAAAAAAUGACAUCUUUUUCUUAUUGAUUUGUAGCAGUUCCUCAUAUUUUCUGGAUAUGAGAUCUUUGUUGGGUAUAUUUGUACUGCAAAUAUCUUUUCUCCCUCUGGGGCUUGCCUUUUCACACCCG